rnacentral:rRNA from 1 species
GCUUUAAUUAACUAACCCAAACUUAUGGAUACUAGAUACCUACAAGGCAUAACAUAACACCAUUAUUAUGAGUUAGCAAUUUAGGUUGGGGUGACCUCGGAAUAUAAAAAAACUCCCGAGUGAUUAAAAUUUAGACCCACAAGUCAAAAUACAACAUCACUUAUUGAUCCAAUAAUUUUUGAUCAACGGAACAAGUUACC